CUGUGGAUAACUUCGGGAAACCGGAGCUAAUACCGGAUAAUAUUUUGAACCGCAUGGUUCAAAAGUGAAAGACGGUCUUGCUGUCACUUAUAGAUGGAUCCGCGCUGCAUUAGCUAGUUGGUAAGGUAACGGCUUACCAAGGCAACGAUGCAUAGCCGACCUGAGAGGGUGAUCGGCCAAACUGGAACUGAGACACGGUCCAG
rnacentral:rRNA from 1 species